rnacentral:rRNA from 1 species
UUGAACGCUGGCGGCAGGCCUAACACAUGCAAGUCGAGCGGAUGAAGGGAGCUUGCUCCUGGAUUCAGCGGCGGACGGGUGAGUAAUGCCUAGGAAUCUGCCUGGUAGUGGGGGAUAACGUCCGGAAACGGGCGCUAAUACCGCAUACGUCCUGAGGGAGAAAGUGGGGGAUCUUCGGACCUCACGCUAUCAGAUGAGCCUAGGUCGGAUUAGCUAGUUGGUGGGGUAAAGGCCUACCAAGGCGACGAUCCGUAACUGGUCUGAGAGGAUGAUCAGUCACACUAGAACUGAGACACGGUCCAGACUCCUACGGGAGGCAGCAGUGGGGAAUAUUGGACAAUGGGCGAAAGCCUGAUCCAGCCAUGCCGCGUGUGUGAAGAAGGUCUUCGGAUUGUAAAGCACUUUAAGUUGGGAGGAAGGGCAGUAAGUUAAUACCUUGCUGUUUUGACGUUACCAACAGAAUAAGCACCGGCUAACUUCGUG